GACGAACGCUGGCGGCGUGCAUAACACAUGCAAGUCAAGGGGGCCCGCAAGGGCAACCGGCGAACGGGUGCGUAACACGUAAGCGACCUACCUCGAUGUGGGGCAUAGCCGGCCUAACGGCCGGGUAAUUCCGCAUACGCUCUUGGAGGGGCAUAUCUCCGAGAUGAAACCAGCAAUGGGCAUUGAGAGGGGCUUGCGGCCUAUCAGCUAGUUGGUGAGGUAACGGCUCACCAAGGCUACGACGGGUAGCUGGUCUGAGAGGAUGGCCAGCCACAUUGGGACUGAGAAACGGCCCAGACUCCUACGGGAGGCAGCAGUGGGGAAUCUUGCGCAAUGGCCU
rnacentral:rRNA from 1 species